GAUGAACGCUGGCGGCGUGCCUAAUACAUGCAAGUCGAGCGAACAGACGAGGAGCUUGCUCCUCUGACGUUAGCGGCGGACGGGUGAGUAACCCGUGGAUAACCUACCUAUAAGACUGGGAUAACUUCGGGAAACCGGAGCUAAUACCGGAUAAUAUAUUGAACCGCAUGGUUCAAUAGUGAAAGACGGUUUUGCUGUCACUUAUAGAUGGAUCCGCGCCGCAUUAGCUAGUUGGUAAGGUAACGGCUUACCAAGGCAACGAUGCGUAGCCGACCUGAGAGGGUGAUCGGCCACACUGGAACUGAGACACGGUCCAGACUCCUACGGGAGGCAGCAGUAGGGAAUCUUCCGCAAUGGGCGAAAGCCUGACGGAGCAACGCCGCGUGAGUGAUGAAGGUCUUCGGAUCGUAAAACUCUGUUAUUAGGGAAGAACAAAUGUGUAAGUAACUAUGCACGUCUUGACGGUACCUAAUCAGAAAGCCACGGCUAACUACGUG
rnacentral:rRNA from 1 species